CGGUGGUUGCCAUGGCAGCAGAGCUGACUCAGGACCAGGUGUCGUGGACCAGGAGAGAAGGGGAAAAUGUCUCCUUCAGAUGUACAGACACUGACCAGUGUGGUCUUAUCUACUGGUACCAGAAGAAAGAGGGGGAAACGUUAGCCGUGAUUCUUUCUUUUGAAAAAAGUUUGGGUCAAUUACAAAAAGGGUUCAACCAUCCUCAGGAAGAUGACUUCUCAUCAGUCCUCAAAGACAACAGCUGGGAGUUGUCGCUUCAAAAGCCUCUUACAAAGCCCUCCUCUCAGGACAAGAAAAUUCAUCCUCACGCCUCCCUUGUAGUGGUGCUGAUCAUCUAUAGGGGAUCGAUGUGUUCAACAAGUUAUUGAUCAGCGCUGACAGCAUCACAGGCAGUGAGCAGAGGUUUAUGAUACAGGAUAUUUCACUGUGGGCGUCUAUAUCUUUGGACGCGGCACCACCCUGGUUGUUACCGCCAGGUCAGUGGAGCGGCCCAAAGUGAGCGUCUACCCAGCGACGGGAGCUGAUUUAAAGGGCCGGCGCUCCCUGCUGUGUGUAGCCAGAGACAUGGUCCCUGAGGAGGUCCGGGUGUCCUGGAGGAGGAGAGGGGGGGGCGGAGGGGGGGGGAAGGACGGGGAGCAGCUGGAGCUCCGAGCCCCGACAUACGCUGCCAGCAUCCUGGUUAUUGAUCAGGGAGAAACCCUCAUGGAUCAAUACAUCUGUAGGGUUGAGCAUGAGAGCGGUCGGCAGGAGGUGGAGGUCCCAGCAGAAAUGACCUUGACGUCAGAAGGCCCCGGAAUGAUAGAAAUGACCUUGACUUCAGAAGGCCCCGGAAAGACAGAUGUUACCUUAGCGACGGCAGUUACUACGGACCCCCGGCGUCCAGGGAGACCCAGAGAAGGUCCUUCAGAUGAAACACACCAGUCCCUCCAGGUGCUGUCCAGAGCCAGGCUGGCGUCUGUGCUCUACACAGUGAUGGUGGUGAAGAGUGUGCUCUGCUGCUGUGGCCUGGCUCUCCUGCUCCUCCACACCAACAAGACCAGCAGGACGCCCAGAACCAGCACCACCACAGCCCUGGACUGACGCUGCUGUCCCCCAGAACCAGCACCACCACAGCCCUGGACUGACGCUCCUGUCCCCCAGAACCAGCACCACCACAGCCCUGGACUGACGCUCCUGUCCCCCAGAACCAGCACCACCACAGCCCUGGACUGACGCUGCUGUCCCCCAGAACUAGCAGACCCACCUCGUAGAAGCAUAUGAGGUCAUCAUGUCAUCAUGUCGUCAUGUCAUCAGAUCAUCAUGUCAUCAUGUCACCAUGUCAUCAUGUCAUCAGAUCAUCAUGUCAUAAUGUAAAGUUGUUAUUCAUUUCUAGUCUCCACGUUCUUCUGCUCUUUUCCCUCCACUGUUCGGACCAGAAAACUGCAUGAGCUUUUCACAGUUUUCUGUUUCCUGUUUCUUAGUGUGUACUGUCACCCAUGUAUCAUCUAACACACUCCCUUCAUUUAAACAGGCCCUCAAAACCCACCUUUUCAAGAUCGCUUUCAACACAUAACCUCCUUCCCUUCUCUACCCUCCCUCCGUUUAACUAUUCCUCUCUUUUCUACCUAUUUCAGUUUUUUAGAUAUCUAUUUCCAAUUUUAUCUUCUUACUUAUAUACGUUAUUAUUAAAUGUUUUUAUUCUGUGUUCACUCUGUUAAGCGACUUUGAGUAUUUAGAAAAGCGUAAUGUGAGCUGAAUGUAUUAUUAUUAUUAUUAUGUAUUAAUAAUAAUAAUAAAGGACAUGCUUUUAAAAUAUUAAAACUCUCAAAUGUAGCAUUAGCUGGUUGUCUAUUAAUGGAGUUGUAUUCAUAAGGUGAAUUAUGUUAUUAUAUAGAAGCGUAUUUGCUUAAUCUUUGAGUCAGUCUGGAUGGCUCAUGGCCCUCUGUUGGAACAUGUGUGGUUGAACAGGUUGAAGGAACAUUAUACGUAGAACUGUAGGAUAGUUUAACUAUAAGAAUAAAUGAACAUGACAACGAUUCUGAAUAAAACCUUUAGAUGAACAUCAACUAUGCUUCAAGCCACAAUGGAAAUAGAUUUUAACUUUGCUCGAGUGUAAGGUUAACUUUGAACUAGAAUUUAACCGGCUAGUUUCUAGACAUUUAUAAGUCUAGUGUACGCUCAGGGUGUUAAAAUUCAAGGUGCGAUAAAAUUGGAUUACCCCCAAAAUUGGACGUCUUCAUUGGCGAGCAAAACACAUUUCAUUCCUUAUUAAACCCCCUCAAUGCUUGAAAAGCUCAAAUCUGCAGACAGACAUAAUGAAAAAGCUUUGCAUCCUAUCAAAUGAUUGAUUGUCUUAGUAGUUCUGAAAGAUUAAGGUAGGUUUACUGUAGUUCUAAAUAUUUGUAUGGUUCUGAAGGAGCACCAUUUUAUGAUUCUGAAUGAGUUUAUUGUGAAGUCGUUUAUUGUAAUUAUGGAUUAUUUAAUUUUAGUUCUGAAGGAGCACCUUAUUGACUUUAUUGUGAUUGUGAAGGAAUUCUUUGUAGUUCGGGUGUAGUUUAUUCUAAUUUAGGUAAUUUAAGGUAAUUAAAAGAGUAUCAAAACAUGAUAACGUUAGUGUUUCUUUAUUAUUAAUACCAGGGGAUGCAGGAAAUGGCUACCCAUGAUAUUACUACCAACCUGUCGCAGUUUCAACGGUUGUUUAUCUUUGUGUAGUUUUUGUUCCUUUCUCCUGAUGUCCUCAGCUAUUCUUUUCCUUCCCAGUCAUCGUCUUCUUCCACCUGUGUUGAUUUGUUAAUAGUGUCCUCAUGUGUAUUUAAGCCCUCUGUUUUUUAUGCAUUUGUCUCAAGGUCCUGUCCUGUAGCUAAACCAGUCUAAUAAGUCUCCAAGUGAAUUAUUAUACUUUUGUUUGAUUUCAAUCAUUAUUUUUGAUAAAUCUGCAGUUUCCGCAGAGAUUAACAUGAUUUUGGUUUAACCUUCUCAACCUUCUCUCCUUUUGAGAUUAAAACCUGAUCUUUAAGUUACACUGCCAACAAAUAUCACAUACCAUAUUUAUUUAUGUAGGCUACUAAACACAAGAAAAUGGACAAAAAGAUGUGUAAAGCAGUGUAGUGGGGCGCCCCGGUGGCUCACCGGGUAGAGCGCGUAGCAUAUAAGACUCAGCCCUUACUGCAGUGACGCGGGUUUGAUUCCUGCAGUGGUCCUAUGCUGCAUGUCCCCUGCUCUCUCUCCCUUACCUUCCUGUCUAUCUCACUUUAUCAUAAAGCAUACAAAUAAAUCGUAAAAAAAACUCGAUAAAUGCGCAGUUAAUUUUUUUUCAUUAUCUUGGUACAUAAGUAGAUGGAUGGAAAUCUUAAGCAUCGCUUUGCUGUUGUUGUUAGUCUAUUAUUUUGGUUUAAUUUGGAAUUGUAUGUAAUUGAAUACACUUAUUUAAAAAGUAAAGUGUUAGUGGAUACAGUUUCCAAUUCAGAAUACAUUUCAUGGUGUGUAUCCAAUUGUUAUGUAUGAAUUUGUCUUCAUAUUUAUAGAUUUAUUCAAUAACAUUUCCAAUAAAAAAUUAUUCAAA
ensembl:lncRNA